rfam:Fukomys damarensis contig121546, whole genome shotgun sequence.
AUUCUUCCUAUCAGGAAUCUGACAAUUGGGUUUUAUGCCACGCGCAUGCAAUGUGUCUCCUUCAAAUCUUGUUAUGACAUUGGCCAAUUCCCAAUCUGAUU